AUCGCUUCUCUGCCUUUUGGCUAAGAUCAAGUGGAGCAUCUGUUCUUAUCAGUGUAAUAUCUGAUACGUCCUCUAUAUGAGGACUACAUAUUAAAUAAAAUGUUUAGAACAGGGAGGCGGAAGAGGGGCUUGCUCCGUCCGCUCCACGCGUCGACCUGGUAUUGCAGUACCUCCAGUAGGGGCAGUCAGG
ensembl:snRNA U2 U2 spliceosomal RNA